UACGUAGGGUGCGAGCGUUGUCCGGAAUUAUUGGGCGUAAAGAGCUCGUAGGCGGUUUGUCGCGUCGACUGUGAAAACCUGGGGCUUAACUCUGGGCCUGCAGUCGAUACGGGCAGACUUGAGUUCGGUAGGGGAGACUGGAAUUCCUGGUGUAGCGGUGAAAUGCGCAGAUAUCAGGAGGAACACCGGUGGCGAAGGCGGCAUCCUGGACCAAUACUGACACUGAAAAGCGAAAGCCAGGGGAGCAAACGGG
rnacentral:rRNA from 1 species